UUGUAGAUCAAUGAAGCUUCCCUGAGUGAAGACUUGAACCACACAUGGGAGGUGCUUGCAGAACCAAUACAAACUGUCAUGCGAAGAUAUGGUGUCCCAGAGCCUUACGAAAAAUUAAAGGAGGUAACAAGAGGAAGAGUGGUGACCCAAGAGAGCAUGAGAGAAUUUAUUAAGAACUUGGAUAUAUCAGGAGAUGCAAAGAUGAUGCUCUUGAAUUUAACACCCCAAACUUAUGUUGGAGCAGUAGCUGAAUUGGCAAAAAACAUAAAGACAGCCAUAAAUUUAGUGAAUGGAUUGACCGCUUAAGUUGUGAGAAAUUAUUUCAUACACAUUUGUUUUUCUCAUUUCUACUAAUCAAAUCGAGGGACUACUAAGCACUUGAAAUUUUGGCACGAGAGUUGCAAAACAGCCUUUUUUCUUUCCUCAAUGUGCACUUACCCAAGAUGUGAAUUUUCUUUCGCAUUCUCCUGUCAAGAGAAUUGUGAUUGAACCUUCCAUAGUUCAAGCUUGAAUUGAAAUUGUGGGUUCAAACUCGAGCCCAAUUCGA